AAGAGAAAGAAGUAAGAAGGAGAUAAUUGAAAAAAAGAAAAGAAAACAGAGCUGUAUAUCUUAUAAUAACGAUCAUUAUGUUUCAUACUUACUUUUUUUUGUCAAAUGUUGGCUUGUUUCAGAAAGAGGAAGCGAAACUUGCUGCUUUGAAAGA
rnacentral:ribozyme from 1 species